AAUUCCUUGCGCGACGCAGAUGUUCUUCUUCGUCGCUAAAGGUGCCGAAAAUUUUAGGCGGACUAAAUGUGAAAAAAGGCGCCGUUUUAUUUCAGACUCUUCUUCUUCCUCCAGCCAGUCGUGCCCCUUUUUUUUCAGACUCUUCUUCUUCCUCCAGCCGUGCCCUCCCAAACCUCCAUACCACCACCUCCGUUCACGUCCAGCCCCGAUACCAGACCUAGCACAUCCGCCCCGACCCCGCCGUCGCAUCCCAGGCCUUCGCAGCCCCCGUUGAUGACCCCUAACCAAAGCACAAACCCUCUCUCUCUUUCCCCCUCUUUGACAAACCUGACACGUUCUCCCCGACCUCGCCAUCGCAUCCCAGGCCUUCGCCGCCCCCGUUGAUGACUCCUAACCAAAGCACAAACCCUCUCUCCCGUUCCCCCUCUCUGACCCGAAAUUCUCCCCCUCUCUCUCCAACCCAAAUUCUCUCCCUCUCUCUCUAACCGAAAAGCCCCAUCAUUGUAAACAAGUUACCACCAACACCUCCAUCUCACAUCCGCUGCUGUCUGUAUCAAGAUUUGAUUGGAGGUGUUGAUCAAGCAUUGUGGUCUUCGAUUUGUGAUUUUAUGUCAAACCUUAUUAGAAGUCGUAAGGCGGUCACGAUUGCACAGAUGUCGCCUCCCCCGACUCAGUCUUCAACUGCCACUGCUCCAGCACAGAUGGACCACAUGCUAGUUGGUCACUCUACGGGUUCUCCUGCACUGACGUCAUCAGCAUCAUCCGUCGCGCAACCUGUUAGCGCCAGGCGUCGUCAUCCCCCCCUAGACGACCGACACAACCUCGACAGACAGUACGGCCAAGAAGAACACACGGGGGCCUUGUCGGCAGUUGAAGACGGCGAAGGUCACUCGGGGUGACCAAUAGUCGUAUCAACAUCGGAUACGACGAGAGGCAUCGGGCUUCAGCAACUGCGGAAUUUCAUAGCUCAUUAGCCCACGACAUUGGUCACGUCGUUUAGGCCCAUUGCCCAAUGAAAUGGAAGUCUUGGAAGGUCAUGCCUGACGAGACGAGGAUGGAGGUGCGCGGACAGUUGUAGACCAACUACAAUUUAGAAGACCUAGACGACGAGUCAUUGACGUACGUCAAUAGACUCUUCGGUGAGAGGUACAAGCAAUGGAAGAGCGAUUUGCACCACCAUUUUCAGACAUUUGAUGAUCCGCAGGUCGCUCUGCAUGAGGGUUGCCCGCAGGAGCUUGAGGGCCGGGAGGAUAGUUGGGCGUGGCUCUGCGGUCAUUUUCAGGAGGGUGAUUAUUUGGCCCAAGCAAAUAAGGGCAAUAGGAACAAUAAGACUCUUCUCCACCAUUCAGGUUCCAGGCCCUUCUCAUAUAGGAUGGACGCACGACGACGGGAGGGGUCCAAAUUCCCAGAGAUCGACGUCUUUGGCGACGUUUAUGUUCGACCUAUGAAUGAACGACGAUGGUGGAGAAGAGCCAGUUGGUUCUUCAGGAGUCCGCCUCCCAACUUCCUCCCGAUAUUCCGCUCGAGUCUGUGGAUCCUUCACAUGAUGCAGGGUUUCAGAUCCUAACUGAGACCUUGGAUCAGACUCUCGGGAGGAAGCCAGAGACAUAUUAUCGAGGGAUGAGGAAUGCCCGCCGGCAGGAACCUAGAGCCCGUUCCUUAUCGCAGUCAAACAGUCAGGUGACUGCUUUGACGGCAGAGGUGGCCGAGCUUAGGACCCAGAUGUCACAUAUGUCACAGAUUCUACAGUCCAUCGUCCGGUCCGGCGUUCCUAUACCGCAUGUUGGCCCCUCGUCGACCUCUGAGCCCCUCCAACCCGACCUUCGCCACCACACUCAUGCCCCUAUCGAUACUGUCCAAACCUCCGAGCCACAUUUGCAGGAUGACCAUGUAGAUUUUCAAACUCUUUUUGAUUAGUUUUUUUACUUUUUUUCAUUACAUUUGAAAUAUUGAUCUUGUAAUAAAUACAUUUAUAUUAUGUUUACAA